GGCUGGUAUAGGCGAUGAGUUUCACGCCUGCUUGUUUUGCUGCGGCAAUAAUAUUGCUGUGCUGGGUGGCACGCUGGCCA
rnacentral:tRNA from 1 species